CACUAUUCAGUGUCUUCUUGAGCCGGUCCCAAGUCCGGGUAAAUGCAGAGGGUUUUGUCAGAAAUCUCAUCCAACAUAAACCCAAAGAACAAUCAUCACGUUAACCAUUAACAGACCUUUCAUAUCAGAUUGGUCGUGUUCUGGGUUAACAACAACUUCCAGUGGUGCUGUUGACCUGCAGGGUGGAAAUCCCUGCACCUGGUGGUCAACACCAGGGUAACAGUCACCAUCAAGCUGAAGGAGGAGUCCGUUGGAGACUGGCAGGCUUGUGGGACUCCUGAGGAAGCUGUCAGGUACCAGCAGUCAAAGCGAGCUGCAGCCCGGACUGUUGUGGAGGAAAACACUAGUUUGUGGGAGGAGCUUGGUGAUUCCAUGGAGAAGGAAUAUCAGUGGGCCUUCAUCGGGGGUCAGUCUGGAAGCUGUCCCAGAACUCCCCUCCUUCCUCAUGUGUUAAGUAGGACACAGCUACUAAUCAGGAGAUUGUGCUUUAAACGCCCUCCUCUCCCCUGCUUCUGACAUGAACUCUUCCUAUCGCUGUACACAGAGCAGAAAUAAUUUCUCCUCAAAUGAAAGGUUGAUUAUUUUGAAUAGAACAUCCAAUAUUGGAGGAUUAUUCAAAUUUGUAUUUAGAUCUGUGAACGAUCUAAGACAGGAAAUGAAAAUACAGUUCAGGUCUAAAACAUUAACAGUAUCACAUUCACGGCCCUUUCGCCAUUUUGUCUGGCGUCGGCGUGAAAAGAGUAUUUUGGAUCAUCCAGAAGAUCCACAAGUGAAAGUCAUGAGUUUCUUUUCAGACCCGGAUCCAGCCUGGAAUCUGGAUCUGCCAGCCUCAUCCCAGAUCAAAUCCUAUUGACAUAUGAUUGGAUUGUUCCAUUCCCAGGCCUGUUUUUACAACACCACUGUUGUCUCUUUUUGUAGAUGCAUCUAUGAGUGCACUAUUGUGCGUAAAUCCAAGAGUGCAUCUGCAUUGUGUCAGUUUACACAACUUUCAUUACUUUGACCUCACAGGACAGAUGAGUUGAUAGUCACAAGGGGACAAUCUUUCUUUCCCUGCACAGUUUUUAGCAGGAACUCGGGUCACACAGACGGUCGGGUUGUUCAGGCUGAAGACUGAAAGCUCCAGAAAAUGUCCUAAAUUACAUUUGGUUUCAAGUUCUGCAGGCAGUAAACCUUUUUUUCUGUGCACUUGCAUUUCUGAGUAAAGCAAGGGCAAAACAAUCCCCUCUGGUCCAGGAGGCUGUCCGGCUCCAACCAGAUAACUGCGCGCUGUGACAGGACAUAAACCCCCGUUUUAGAUUAGCAUUCUAACCGCUGAUUGGGUCGCUGGAAAAGCCCUGUGGCCACAGCGGAUUUUCUGAUUGGCUAAUGGGACCCAGCGACCCGUCAAACUUCAGGUAUUUAAAUUUUGCGCCUCACCGCUCAAAUCGAGGUGCUGGCAGACUUUCCAAAUGCUUAGAAAAACAAAAAGUCAACGUUGUUUUGAGAAGCAUUCAAACAUCACAGGUUCUGAUACUGAUGGUUUAUUAAUUAACAAAAUGUGGGAAGCUCCAGCUGACAUUAGUGAGUUUCAGGAAAAUGACGAUACACUGAAAAGUCUGUUUUCAAAGGUUACAGAUGAGACCAAUGCAAUUCAAAUGGGUAAAGAGUACUCUAUUUUUGACAGGAAUGUGCCUUGUGUUCUUCGUGAUGGAAAAAAAACCGCAUAGUUAUUGCUAAAAGCUAGAUCAUUGGUAAUGCAUUUAGCACACACCUUCCCUUGGGCUGGACACCUCAGUCAACACAAAACAUACAUGCGCAUUAGUUCUUGAUUCUAUUGGCCUUGUAUGUACUUUGAUGUGCAAACGUUCUGUGCUACUUGUCCUAUCUGUCAAAAAACUGCUAUCUCUCUAAGUCUGACAGGACUCUCCUGCAACCACUCCCCAUCAUUCCUACUCCCUUCUGGAGGUUGGCAGUGGACAUUGUUGGACACUUGGGAAGAAGGAAGGAGUAUCGUGUUCAUACUGGAGAUGAGGGAGCGACCGCAAAGCUACAGAGAAGAAGCUGAGCUGCAUCUGCAGAAAGCUCAGAAAAUGCAGAGAACCUGAUAUAAUCAACUGACACGCCAUCGCGAGAACCAUCCAGUUUCCACAACAGGCCAAAGAGCAGCUCUGACCUCCUUGUCUUCUUUGGACAGAUCUUCACCAAAGUGAAGCUUGUUUUCUCGCAGGUAGGUGUUGUUUUUGGCAUUUCUCCAGAUCUCAUCUCGAACAGAGCGGUAGGCGAACAGAGUGAUGAUUCCUCGGGUCUUCUUGCCGUCUUGUCUUCCCAGCCGGUGUGCAACAUCAAUCCCAUCAGCUCCUCUUGAUAGGAAUGUCUGGGAGAGGCGUCAACUCCAUAUUGCCUUCUUUCAUAUGAGCUCAUGCUCACUUGUUUUAUUCUUCGAUGUAUCAGGGGCUCUCAACUUUCGCUUGUUAUCUUCUUUUUUCCGUGGCUGCUCAUUUUUUCUGUGAAAAGUUUCGUUGGUAGCAUUAGCCUGGAAAUUAAUUGAUGUCCCCAAGCUAGCACUAUGCUCAAAGCUUAGUUUUUGUAAAUAAUUGGUCUUAAUACAAGUUAAUUUGUUCAGUGUUCCAAUAAUUCCAUAAAUAUUAGCUGGCUUCUUGAAAUUGUUAUUAAUUGCUUGGAGAUCCGGUAAAAUGCGCGUGGACUCACCGCCAUCUUGAAUCAGCCCUCGGCCCAAAACUGUUUAUUGCAGGUACAGAAAACAUCAUUUUAACCAUAGAUAUAAUAGAGAGUAGAUGCUGCAUUGGCUGCUGGGGCGCAGGAAAAGAAGCAUGAGCAUUGAGUGGAGUGAACAUUCUCAUUCAAAUCGGUGGACUAUUGAAAGCAGGGCUCGGGGGAUCACUUUUCACAAGUAAGUUUGAACGUUUUUAUCGGUUAUAUUUUUGGAAUAGGCUGUAAUAUCCCUGCACUGUUAUGUACACCAGCGAACUCAGUCAGCUAAUGUCAGCUAUAGGCUAUAUCUAGUGUUGGUGUUCACCUAGCUAUGAAGGGUAACUGAGACUUUUUAAAUAAUAUAUUCCAUAACAAUAACUUAGAUUACAACUGACACAAUAAUGCUGCUGUAGAAGUAAAACAAAUAUUACUGGUAUUAGAUAUCUCUCAUGGCCAUCCAACCUCAGAGAUUUAAAAAUACAAACAACUGAAGGUCUGGCUGACUCACAAUUUCAGCAGCUUUGGUUCAUUAUCAAAAGAAAUGUGAAAUUUUAUUUUGUUGACAAAAGGUUCUAAUAAAUGUGAAGGAUGAAGUAAAUAGGAACAAUGGAAUAAAAUGGGAAUAAUAAGAAGAAUGAAGAAAAUAAGAUUGACCUCUUUUAUAAUGUGUUUAAGGAGCAUGCAGGAACCCAGAAGAUAAGAAACUUGCACUGCAAACAUGAAAAGCUCACACCAUUAUCACUGUCACAUAUAUAUAAAUGAUUAUGCUUCUCCAUUUUAUCCAGAAAAGGGCAGGGCCACAUCUACCUCCAGAAGAGCUGAAGAGAGCCUGUCAGUGCCCUCUCAGGAUGAGACUUCAACCUCACCCCCUCAGCAUGAGCCCUAAUGAUGUAUUUCUGUUUUAACAUCAAAACAGAAUGACCCUGGACAUUAAAAUCUCCCUUGUAUGCUGUUACCCAGAUUAAACCCAAUGACGUGCUGAGAGCUGCAGAGAGGGGGAUUCAUCAGGCUUCAACAAAGCAGCUCCAAAGGUGUCAACAGUCACACACACCGACCUGGAGGAGAUUGGAACAGAGGACGUUUUUCUGCUUGGAGACCAAUAGCGGGGACACAGUUUGGCAUCGACAACCAUCAUUCCAACUUGUCAUUGGUUGUUUUUGUGUUUCAGAAGAUAAGGCUGCACAACAUUGAAAACGUACCUCUGUUGACCUGCAGAAAGGAAGCACAAGAAAAUAGCUUUGUGAAGAAUAAUGAAAUUAUGAUUUAAACAAUCUAUGAUUGUGAAAUGGUGAUUGUAGAUAACAAUGUAUAGAAUUUAUGAGUAAAAAGGGGAAAAAUUUAAAGUUACUGAAUAUUGUAUUGUUUUGUUUAGAUUUAUAUACUGUGAAUUAUUUGAGUUACUGGAAAAAUACAUAAAGGAAUAGGCUUAAAUAAGUGUUUGCUUCUGCCGAUCUUGUUUUCAAACGUGUAUGUAUUGAAUUUGUCAUGGUUCUGCUCUGCUCCUUCACCCCUCCCUUCCUCCACUCUAAUUUCAUUCACCUGUGUUAAUUAAGUUCUCAUUGCGCUCCAGUUGGUGUUCACACUAUUUAAGAUCCUCACUUUCACCUCUUCACUGCCAGUUCGUUGAAUCAGUCACGUUCCAGCUAGUAACAAACCUUGCACUUUUAGUCUUUUCAUGUUUUUGACCCUUUUCUGCCCUGGUAACGAGUUUAAGCCUGUCCCCUGUCUGGAGUUUUUCUCCCCUGGUUUUUCUUCCUCCGUUUCCAUCCUGAAGAGGCGUGACGUUUCCAGAUCCCUUAUCUCAACACGGAGUAAAGCUGCCCCAACACUGGUCUUCACCCUCCAGUGGAUUCUCCUCCUGCACACAGCAGCAGUGGGGGAAGCUUCCAUCAUUCCUGACACCAUCCGCCCUGCACUCGGACGCUUCAAAGGCUGUUCUCUCACGUCUGCUUCUGGAGUUCUAAGCUCACCUGUGCAUCUGGCGGCCACUGAUUAAUUCUACCUCCCUAAUAAACACCUUAAUUGUGACCUGG